UACGGAGGCCUCAAGCGUUGUUCGGAUUUAUUGGGCGUAAAGGGUGCGUAGGCGGUACCGAAAGUUAGGUGUGAAAGUUCGAGGCUCAACCUCGAAAGUGCACCUAAUACUCCGGUGCUUGAGUCUCAUAGAGGAAUCUGGAAUUCACGGUGUAGCAGUGAAGUGCGUAGAUAUCGUGAAGAGGGCCUGUGGCGAAAGCAAGAUUCUGGGUGACGACUGACGCUGAGGCACGAAAGCGAGGGGAGCAAACGGG
rnacentral:rRNA from 1 species